rnacentral:rRNA from 1 species
GACGAACGCUGGCGGCGUGCUUAACACAUGCAAGUCGAACGGAAAGGCCCUGCUUUUGUGGGGUGCUCGAGUGGCGAACGGGUGAGUAACACGUGAGUAACCUGCCCUUGACUUUGGGAUAACUUCAGGAAACUGGGGCUAAUACCGGAUAGGAGCUCCUGCUGCAUGGUGGGGGUUGGAAAGUGUCGGCGGUUGGGGAUGGACUCGCGGCUUAUCAGGUUGUUGGUGGGGUAGUGGCUUACCAAGGCUUUGACGGGUAGCCGGCCUGAGAGGGUGACCGGCCACAUUGGGACUGAGAUACGGCCCAGACUCCUACGGGAGGCAGCAGUGGGGAAUAUUGCACAAUGGGCGGAAGUCUGAUGCAGCAACGCCGCGUGCGGGAUGACGGCCUUCGAGUUGUAAACCGCUUUCGCCUGUGACGAAGCGUGAGUGGCGGUAAUGGGUAAAGAAGCACCGGCUAACUACGUG